CCUACGGGUGGCAGCAGUGAGGAAUAUUGGUCAAUGGCCGGAAGGCUGAACCAGCCAUGCCGCGUGAAGGUCAGUGCCCUAUGGGCGUUAAACUUCUUUUGUGCGGGAGCAAUAAUGGUCACGUGUGGCCAGACGAGAGUACCGUACGAAUAAGCAUCGGCUAACUCCGUGCCAGCAGCCGCGGUAAUACGGGGGAUGCAAGCGUUAUCCGGAUUUGUUGGGGUUAAAGGGUGCGUAGGCUGUGAGGUAAGUCAGCGGGGAAAUGCCCCCGGUCAACGGGGUGAAGUGCCAUUGAUACUGGCGUGCUGGAAUGCGGAUGCCGUGGGAGGAAUGUGUGGUGUAGCGGUGAAAUGCAUAGAUAUCACACAGAACACCGAUUGCGAAGGCAGCUCACGGAUCCGCGAUUGACGCUGAUGCACGAAAGCGUGGGUAUCAAACAGGAUUAGAUACCCCAGUAGUC
rnacentral:rRNA from 1 species